rnacentral:misc_RNA from 1 species
AUUUUUUUUUUUUUUUUUGGCUUUUAGUUUAAAUUUCAAAGCUGGUGAUUAUGAGUACUUAAUGGUUUUCCGAUGUGCUUAUUGAAGCAAUCAAGUGAUUGGCCUGGACCAACAGUAACUUUUCUUAAUAUGCUUUUGUUAUGUAUAUUUUGCCUUGUUUUGUUUUGCUCCCUAUACAGCUCAAUUUAGGAAACCUUAGGCUUUAAAAGUAUAAAUUGGACGUUUCUAAAGAUUUUUUUGGAACACGUUUCUAAUAAUUGUUUCAUGAUGUGAAUAAUAGU